CGGUAUACUACCGCCGUACGAUUCACGCGAACAGCACUGAUAGGGCGCGGCCGCGCCCGCUCUAGCCUGCGGCCGGCGCUCCGGUCGCCGAUCCUCAUCUCGAGUUGCCAGACGGGGGUAGGGAUUAGAGUGGCUGUCCUGACUCCUACACCCGUCUUCUCGCCCUCCUCUUCACUACUGGCUCCCACUCUCCUCCGCACUCUCUCACCUCACUUCUUUCAUCGUUUGACCCACUCCGCUCGUUCUCCUCCCCUAUUCUUACUUCCAUUUUCACAUGACCACCCACAAUCGUUGGGUCGCGUUGUUACAUCGGACCAUAAGCGAGGCUCCUUCCCAGGCCGUGACAUCCUCCCAAUCCUUUGGAAACAGAGGAGUGCCUUCGGACCCCGAGUGACAGGUGCUGCAUGGUUGUCGUCAGCUCGUUCCUUCAGGUGUUCGGUUAAGUCCGUUAACGAGCGCAACCCUCGUCGCAUGUUGUUUUUUCAUGCGAGACUGCCGGUUUCAAACCGGAGGAAGGUGAGGAUGACGUCAAAUCAGCAUGGCCCUUAUGUUCUGGGCGACAAACGCGCUACAAUGGCCAGUACAAUGCGCAGCCAAGCCGCAAGGCGGAGCCAAUCGCAUCAAAGCUGGUCUCAGUUCGGAUUGGGGUCUGAAACUCGACCCCACUGAAGUUGGAGUCGCUAGUAAACGCCGAUCAGCCACGCGGCGUUGAAUAUGUUCCUGGAUCUUGUACUCACCGCCCGUCAAGUCACGAAAUCUGGGGGUGCCCGAAGUGGGGUUAGUCUUUCGAGACGCCUCCGUAAGGUAAACCCAGUGACUGGGACUAAGUCGUAACAAGGUAAAUGGCGAAGCCAUGGCGCCCGGGAGCAUGGUGGA
rnacentral:rRNA from 1 species